rnacentral:rRNA from 1 species
AGAGUUUGAUCCUGGCUCAGGAUGAACGCUGGCGGUAUGCUUAACACAUGCAAGUCGAACGAACUCUUCGGAGUGAGUGGCGGACGGGUGAGUAACGCGUGAGAACCUGCCUACAGGACGGGGACAACAGUUGGAAACGACUGCUAAUACCCGAUAGGCCGAGAGGUGAAAGAUUUAUUGCCUGAAGAGGGGCUCGCGUCCGAUUAGUUAGUUGGUGGGGUAAAGGCCUACCAAGGCAAUGAUCGGUAGCUGGUCUGAGGGGAUGAGCAGCCACACUGGGACUGAGACACGGCCCAGACUCCUACGGGAGGCAGCAGUGGGGAAUUUUCCGCAAUGGGCGAAAGCCUGACGGAGCAAUACCGCGUGAGGGAGGAAGGCCUUUGGGUUGUAACCUCUUUUCUCAGGGAAGAAGAUCUGACGGUACCUGAGGAAUAAGCAUCGGCUAACUCCGUGCCAGCAGCCGCGGUAAUACGGGGGAUGCAAGCGUUAUCCGGAAUUAUUGGGCGUAAAGGGUCCGCAGGUGGUGUGGCAAGUCUGUUGUCAAAGACCGGGAGCUCAACUCCCGGGAAGGCAAUGGGAAACUGCCAAACUAAAGUACGGUAGGGGGUAA